UCUACGGGAGGCAGCAGUGGGGAAUAUUGCGCAAUGGGCGAAAGCCUGACGCAGCGACGCCGCGUGAGGGAUGAAGGUCUUCGGAUCGUAAACCUCUGUCAGCAGGGAAGAACGGUCACUUUGCUAAUCAGCAGUGAAUUGACGGUACCUGCAAAGGAAGCACCGGCUAACUCCGUGCCAGCAGCCUCGGUAAUACGGGGGGUGCGAGCAUUAAUCGGAAUUACUGGGCGUAAAGCGCUCGUAGGCGGUAUGUCAAGUCAAGGGUGAAAUCCCCGCGCUCAACGUGGGAACUGCCUUGGAAACUGGCAAACUGGAGUGUGUGAGAGGAUAGUGGAAUUUCAGGUGUAGGAGUGAAAUCCGUAGAUAUCUGGAGGAACAGCAGUGGCGAAGGCGACUAUCUGGCACAUAACUGACGCUGAGGAGCGAAAGCGUGGGUAGCAAACAGGAUUAGAUACCCCUGUAGUC
rnacentral:rRNA from 1 species